rnacentral:rRNA from 1 species
UACGUAGGGUGCAAGCGUUAAUCGGAAUUACUGGGCGUAAAGCGUGCGCAGGCGGUUCUGUAAGUCUGUCGUGAAAUCCCCGGGCUCAACCUGGGAACCGCGCUUGAGACUGGCACGCUCGAGUUCGGGAGAGGAUGGUGGAAUUCCCAGUGUAGAGGUGAAAUUCGUAGAUAUUGGGAAGAACACCGAUGGCGAAGGCAGCCAUCUGGACCGACACUGACGCUGAGGCGCGAAAGCGUGGGGAGCAAACAGG